rnacentral:snoRNA from 1 species
AAUAGGCCUACUCGAAGCUUUUCUAGUUGCAAUUUACCAGCUAGAAAAGUCAAAAAUAGGCCAAUAGGAAAUGGUAACAAAC